CCACGGCGAAAUCCUGGCGGAGGGGCCGUGGGAGGGACCCUCACCCCCGGCCCGCCCUCCCGCCUUCCCCCCCGCUGCCACAUCGAUCCCAGGCCGCCCGAGGGAUUUCAUCCCCUAUUGAUCCCGGAAUUCCCACCUGGAAGCAGAGAGCCCCGUUGCGGUCGGCGUCGAAGGCGUCGAACAAGAAGUGGGCAUAGGAGCUGGCGUCUGCGGGGCAGGGACGGUGACCCCCGGACCGAGGCCGGCCGUUUCCCCGGGGGGCCCCCCCAGACCCCCCUGGGGGGUUUGGGGACCCCCGACUCACCGCCUUGAGGGAAGAACCGCGAGUAGAUGAGUGUGAAGGUUUCCUCAUCCACGAGGCCGCUGGGACAUUCCUGGGAAGGGGAGCGGCGCCGGUGACCCCGAGGAACACGGGGAGCCGCGGAUUUGAGGGGUCCGGGCCCCGAAUCCCCGGACUCACGUUCUUGAAGCCACGGUAGAGGGACUGAAGCUCGGUCUUGGUGAACUUGGUGCGAGCCAGGAGCUGCUCCAGCCCCUCGGGCUGGUGCCGGGUGGUCGGGAGCUCCACGUCGGCAUCACCGCUGUCUGCAGGGGGAGACCCCGGCCAAAGACCUCCUUAGAGACACCCCUGCACCCCAAACCCAUCCCCGGGCAAAGACCCCCACCUAGAAACACCUUUCCACCCCAAACCCGCGGCCCGGCAGCUCCCGGAGCCCCCCGGGGACCCCGAAUGCCGCGGGUGUUGCAUCCCGAGGGAUUUCCCGCACUCCCAAGGCACCGAACAUUCCCGAGCCGCCUCUUGGCCGCUGCCGCUCCCGCCCGGCCCGGCGGAAGAGAUGGGCUCCAGGAUGCCGAACUGCUUGAGGACGGCGAUGAAGAGGAGGAUGACCACAGCCACGGCGCACAGCUCCAU